rnacentral:rRNA from 1 species
GACGAACGCUGGCGGCGUGCCUAAUACAUGCAAGUUGAGCGCUGAAGGUUGGUACUUGUACCAACUGGAUGAGCAGCGAACGGGUGAGUAACGCGUGGGGAAUCUGCCUUUGAGCGGGGGACAACAUUUGGAAACGAAUGCUAAUACCGCAUAAAAACUUUAAACACAAGUUUUAAGUUUGAAAGAUGCAAUUGCAUCACUCAAAGAUGAUCCCGCGUUGUAUUAGCUAGUUGGUGAGGUAAAGGCUCACCAAGGCGAUGAUACAUAGCCGACCUGAGAGGGUGAUCGGCCACAUUGGGACUGAGACACGGCCCAAACUCCUACGGGAGGCAGCAGUAGGGAAUCUUCGGCAAUGGACGAAAGUCUGACCGAGCAACGCCGCGUGAGUGAAGAAGGUUUUCGGAUCGAAAAACUCUGUUGGUAGAGAAGAACGUUGGUGAGAGUGGAAAGCUCAUCAAGUGACGGUAACUACCCAGAAAGGGGCGGCUAACUACGUG